rnacentral:rRNA from 1 species
GCAAGUCGAACGAGAUUCAGUGAGUAGCAAUACUCACGAAGAUCUAGUGGCGAACGGGUGCGUAACACGUGAGGAACUUGUCCCGGUCUCUGGGAUAACAGUUGGAAACGACUGCUAAUACCGGAUGACGUCGGAACUUCGCAUGGAGUACUGACGAAAGGGUUACUGGAUCGGGAGAGCCUCGCGGCCUAUCAGCUUGUUGGUGGGGUAAUGGCCUACCAAGGCAUCGACGGGUAGCUGGUCUGAGAGGAUGAUCAGCCACACUGGGACUGAGACACGGCCCAGACUCCUACGGGAGGCAGCAGUGGGGAAUCUUGCACAAUGGGCGAAAGCCUGAUGCAGCAACGCCGCGCGCGGGAAGAAGGCCCUCGGGUUGUAAACCGCUUUCAGAAGGAACGAAACUGACGGUACUUCAGAAGAAGGUGCGGCCAACUACGUGCCAGCAGCCGCGGUGACACGUAGGCACCAAGCGUUGUCCGGAUUUAUUGGGCGUAAAGAGCUCGUAGGGCGGGUUCAGUAAGUCGGAGUGUGAACAACUUUGGGCUUAACCCAAAGCGUGCAUCCGAUACUGCUGUGACUUGGAGUACGGUCAGGGGAGCGGGGAAUUCCUAGUGUAGCGGUGAAAUGCGCAGAUUCAGGAGGGAACACCGGUGGCGAAGGGCGCGCUCUGGGCCGAAAACUGAAGGCUGAGGGAGCGAAAAGCAAUGGGUAGCAAAACAGGAUUAGAUACCCUGGGUAAGUUCCAUGCCGGUAAAACGGUAGGGGGACACCUA